rnacentral:rRNA from 1 species
UACGGGGGGGGCAAGCGUUGUUCGGAAUUACUGGGCGUAAAGGGCUCGUAGGCGGCCAACUAAGUCGAACGUGAAAUCCCCGAGCUCAACUCGGGAACUGCGUCCGAUACUGGCAGGCUUGAAUCCGGGAGAGGGAUGCGGAAUUCCAGGUGUAGCGGUGAAAUGCGUAGAUAUCUGGAGGAACACCGGUGGCGAAAGCGGCUUACUGGAUCUCUUCUGACGCUGAGGCACGAAAGCUAGGGUAGCGAACGGG